GAUGAACGCUGGCGGCGUGCCUAAUACAUGCAAGUCGAGCGAACGGACGAGAAGCUUGCUUCUCUGAUGUUAGCGGCGGACGGGUGAGUAACACGUGGAUAGCCUACCUAUAAGACUGGGAUAACUUCGGGAAACCGGAGCUAAUACCGGAUGAUAUUUUGAACCGCAUGGUUCAAAGGUGAAAGACGGUCUUGCUGUCACUUAUAGAUGGAUCCGCGCUGCAUUAGCUAGUUGGUAAGGUAACGGCUUACCAAGGCAACGAUGCAUAGCCGACCUGAGAGGGUGAUCGGCCACACUGGAACUGAGACACGGUCCAGACUCCUACGGGAGGCAGCAGUAGGGAAUCUUCCGCAAUAGGCGAAAGCCUGACGGAGCAACGCCGCGUGAGUGAUGAAGGUCUUCGGAUCGUAAAACUCUGUUAUUAGGGAAGAACAUAUGUGUAAGUAACUGUGCACAUCUUGACGGUACCUAAUCAGAAAGCCACGGCUAACUACGU
rnacentral:rRNA from 1 species